GACGAACGCUGGCGGCGUGCCUAACACAUGCAAGUCGAGCGGAGAAACAAAAGAGCAGCUUGCUGCGAUUUGUUUCUUAGCGGCGGACGGGUGAGUAACGCGUGGGUAAUCUGCCUCAAACAGGGGGAUAACACAGGGAAACUUGUGCUAAUACCGCAUAAGACCCCACCAUGGCAUCAUGGAGAGGUCAAAGGAAGAAAUUCCGGUUUGAGAUGAGCCCGCGUCAGAUUAGCUAGUUGGUGAGGUAACGGCUCACCAAGGCGACGAUCAGUAGCCGAACUGAGAGGUUGAUCGGCCACAUUGGGACUGAGACACGGCCCAGACUCCUACGGGAGGCAGCAGUGGGGAAUAUUGCACAAUGGGGGAAACCCUGAUGCAGCGACGCCGCGUGAAGGAAGAAGGCCCUCGGGUUGUAAACUUCUUUGACCAGGGACGAAGAAAGUGACGGUACCUGGAGAACAAGCCACGGCUAACUACGUGCCAGCAGCCGCGGUAAAGCUACG
rnacentral:rRNA from 1 species